GUGCUGCAUGGCUGUCGUCAGCUCGUGUCGUGAGAUGUUGGGUUAAGUCCCGCAACGAGCGCAACCCCCAUCGUCAGUUGCCAUCAUUCAGUUGGGCACUCUGGCGAAACCGCCGGCGCCAAGCCGGAGGAAGGCGGGGAUGACGUCAAGUCCUCAUGGCCCUUAUGGGCUGGGCUACACACGUGCUACAAUGGCGGUGACAGUGGGACGCGAAACCGCGAGGUGGAGCAAAUCCCCAAAAGCCGUCUCAGUUCGGAUUGCACUCUGCAACUCGAGUGCAUGAAGUUGGAAUCGCUAGUAAUCGCGGAUCAGCACGCCGCGGUGAAUAC
rnacentral:rRNA from 1 species